GGGUCGAUGCCCGAGUGGUUAAAGGGGACGGAUUGUAAAUCCGUUGGCAGCGCCUUCGCUGGUUCAAAUCCAGUUCGACCCA
rnacentral:tRNA from 1 species